rfam:Jatropha curcas cultivar GZQX0401 scaffold502_40, whole genome shotgun sequence.
GGAUGACACGAUGACUAUGAUAGGUUUCCCUAUUGGUUUGAUGGCCGAAAUGAUGGCUCAUUGCUUUGUAUUAGCUCUAUCUGAUCAUUC